rnacentral:rRNA from 1 species
GACGAACGCUGGCGGCGUGCUUAACACAUGCAAGUCGAACGGAAAGGCCCUGCUUUUGUGGGGUGCUCGAGUGGCGAACGGGUGAGUAACACGUGAGUAACCUGCCCUUGACUUUGGGAUAACUUCAGGAAACUGGGGCUAAUACCGGAUAGGAGCUCCUGCUGCAUGGGGGGGGUUGGAAAGUUUCGGCGGUUGGGGAUGGACUCGCGGCUUAUCAGCUUGUUGGUGGGGUAGUGGCUUACCAAGGCUUUGACGGGUAGCCGGCCUGAGAGGGUGACCGGCCACAUUGGGCCUGAGAUACGGCCCAGACUCCUACGGGAGGCAGCAGUGGGGAAUAUUGCACAAUGGGCGGAAGCCUGAUGCAGCAACGCCGCGUGCGGGAUGACGACCUUCGGGUUGUAAACCGCUUUCGCCUGUGACGAAGCGUGAGUGACGGUAAUGGGUAAAGAAGCACCGGCUAACUACGUG